CAGCAGCCGCGGUAAUACGUAGGGUGCGAGCGUUAAUCGGAAUUACUGGGCGUAAAGCGUGCGCAGGCGGUUAUGUAAGACAGAUGUGAAAUCCCCGGGCUCAACCUGGGAACUGCAUUUGUGACUGCAUGGCUAGAGUACGGUAGAGGGGGAUGGAAUUCCGCGUGUAGCAGUGAAAUGCGUAGAUAUGCGGAGGAACACCGAUGGCGAAGGCAAUCCCCUG
rnacentral:rRNA from 1 species